ACGGAAGGCAGCAGUGGGGAAUAUUGCACAAUGGGGGAAACCCUGAUGCAGCGACGCCGCGUGAGUGAAGAAGUUAUUCGUAACGUAAAGCUCUAUCAGCAGGGAAGAAAAUGACGGUACCUGACUAAGAAGCCCCGGCUAAAUACGUGCCAGCAGCCGCGGUAAUACGUAUGGUGCAAGCGUUAUCCGGAUUUACUGGGUGUAAAGGGAGCGUAGACGGCAUGGCAAGUCUGAAGUGAAAGCCUGGGGCUCAACCCCGGAACUGCUUUGGAAACUGUUAAGCUAGAGUGCAGGAGAGGUAAGUGGAAUUCCUAGUGUAGCGGUGAAAUGCGUAGAUAUUAGGAGGAACACCAGUGGCGAAGGCGGCUUACUGGACUGUAACUGACGUUGAGGCUCGAAAGCGUGGGGAGCAAACAGGAUUAGAUACCCUGGUA
rnacentral:rRNA from 1 species